GCAAUUUUAAAUGUAAUUUUGCUAAUAGUUUUGCUGAAAUUCAAGUUAAAGAGAUCGCACGGGGGUAACAAAAAUUCUUUGGACGGAUGUCAGAAUGAAGACCCGGCUGAACAAGCACCAGUUGAGCACAUCACUGCUUAUGCUUCACUAAACCAUAGGGAGAGCAAACCAUUUCACAAAGAUGGACAACAUGAGGAGCGCGUUAUCUAUUCCCAG